UCAAUUUAUUCCAACUCAUUAGUCAAUAUUGCUCUACUUUACAGUUUUUAAAAUUCAAAGUUUUUGAUUCUUUAUUUUCUGGUUGAAUUUUUUUUUCUUAUUGAGGUUAGUGUUGUUAUUGUGAAAAACAUCUUUAAGAUACAAAUAUUGUGAAUUUUUGUUGAUAACAAAAAUCAUGUAUUUUGACUUAGGUGCGGAAGAUGAAUUCAUGGGAUAAAUCUGUUUCAAAGAGUGAUCCUAAUGUUUUUAUCAUUGAGAAGGAGGAGGAAGAUGAACAUGAUAUGAUGUUUUUAUUAUUGAGGAGAAGGCGGCUCCUAUGUUGAAUGCAACAGAUGAGAUUGUUUCUUUUAUCUCAAGCAUGUGUAAAACAACGAACAAAUCCAAAGAGUAUACUGGUAUAACUAAGUGAUUGUUCGAUUAGGAACCAAAUUUUUACUCAUCUUUUCAGUUUUUAUGUCCAUUUGGAGUGAAAGUACAUCUUCUCUUCUCUUGCUUAGAGAACUCAAGUGAGGCACGAAAGAAGAUAUUUUGGAGAAUCACCAUCACUCUUGGAUGUUGACGGCUUCAGGAACAUUUUUUUGUAGUCCGGGAUUCUCCUAUUUUAGAGAAGGAACUAUGUGAAAUUUAGUUCUCCAAAGUGCCAAAGAGACAAUGUAUCCUCAUCAACAUGGAUGAUUUGAGUUCAAGUGGAACAACAUAGCAGGAUAUGUAAAUCUUGAAAGGCUGAAAGAGUCCCUAUCUGAAAGCAAGGGAGAACGCGUAAUCUCACACCUACCUGGAACCAGAUAAGAUUGACUCACCACUGUAUUUCUUCAGUCAUUUAUGAAGAUUUUUAAAGUGUUAGCUUGUUAUCAUAGCUCCAUACAGUUUUAUUCAGAAAUGAAAUGUGGGCAUUCCCUUGUACAAAUUGAACAAUAAAGAUUUCUUUUCCCAAGAAGAAGAAGAAGUUAUUGUUCUUGUCUUCAGAUGUUUAUCUCAUGCAAAAAGAAAAAUAUUCAUACCUUAUAAGUUUGAAGAAGCUAAAAUCCUGGGAUGAAAGUAAGUGUUUUGGAAAUUAACUAUGACUCGUUCAGGGAUAUCGUAGGAGAUGAUGAAGACAGUAAUGCUAAAGCGAUACGAAAAAUCUUUCUAACUUUGGUCCUUGAAGGACAACUUACUCGAAAUGAGCAAAGCCUUAUGUGGUAAACACUGAGAAAGGUUGAAACAGAGAAGCGAAUACUCUUUUCUAGAAUUCCUUUCCAAACUAACAUCAAAGAAUUUUACAGCACGCUGAGCAUAGUUAUCCAAAGUUAGGUGCAGGUCCCGAGCAAAAAUGGGUUUCUAUUAGCAGUUCCAUUGACAAGAAUGCCCGAGCACUGAAAGAGCUUAGGGAUGUUACUUCAUCAGUUGUCCAUACUUAUAGUUAAGAUGUAAAGAAGGUUAGCCUUACAAGUAUAAAGAAUACAAUGAUACACUUGUAAAGGUUAGCCUUUCGAGCAUUUGAGGGCUUACAUUCUUUACAUUUUUGCUAAAUUUAUGGACAAAAGGUGAAAUAAUAUCCCUAAGCUCUCCCAACGCUCAGACAUUCUUGUCAAUGAAACUGCUAAGAGUAGCCUAUUUUUGCUCCAAAUCUGUACCAAACUUUAGACUGGCUACACUUAGGGUGUUUUACAUCUUUUUGAUGUUAAUGUGGAACGAAGUUGCAGACAGAAAUAUGUACUUCUAUAUUUCAACCUUUUUCAGUGCUUUCCACACAAGGUUGUGCUCAUUCCGAGUAGUAUGCCCUUCUUCAAGGACCAACAAUCUAGGAAAUUUUAGAAGUAUUUUUCUAGUCUCUUUGGCGUAACCAUCUUCAUCUUCAUCUUCCCCUGUGAGAAUUUUGAACAAGUCAUAGCUGAUUCCCAAAACACUCUUACUUUCCCCCAAUAUUUCAACUUCAGCAUGCGCAUAAUGUGUGAAUUCUUUUCUGUAGAAUCGGAUAAAUGGUGGAAGACAUCAAUAAUACCUCCAUCUUUCUUUAAGGAGAAGUCUUUGUGAUUCAAAUUGUGGAAGGGAAUGUCACCGUCCAUUACUGAAACUCGAUUUCCUAGUUAAGAAACAAAUUUGAUGGAGCUAUGAUUACAGGCCAACAUUGUGGGAACAUUUUCAGAAUUGACUGAAGAAACAAUAUGGUGAGUCGGGUUUUUCUGGUGCCAGGUGGGUGUGCAAUGAUGCAUCCUCCCUUACUCUCAAAUAGAGGUUAUCUCGGUCUCUCAAGAUUUAUAGUUCCAGCUAUGUUGCUUCACAUAAACUUAAAUCCUCCACGUCGAUGAGUGCAUUGUCGUUUUGGCACUUAGGAGAACUAAAUCCCAUACAGCUCCUUCUCCAUAAAUAGGAGAAUUACGUUGCAAAAGAAUAAGAAUCUCUAAAGUCGUCAACAUCCAAGAGUGAUGGCGAUUCAUCAAAAAUAUUUUAUGUGAUUAUUUUGGAUUAUAUGUGAUUUAUGUACGUUUUUUUAGGUGUAUUAUAAUUUGCCUAGGACUUUUAUUACCUUCAUAUGAUGAAGAUACCGGAUCGUCAUGAGCAAGCUAGAUAGAUUCUUUUUCCUUUCAACCUU